rnacentral:rRNA from 1 species
CGAAUGCUGACAUAAGUAACGAUAAAGCGGGUGAAAAGCCCGCUCGCCGGAAGACCAAGGGUUCCUGUCCAACGUUAAUCGGGGCAGGGUGAGUCGACCCCUAAGGCGAGGCCGAAAGGCGUAGUCGAUGGGAAACAGGUUAAUAUUCCUGUACUUGGUGUUACUGCGAAGGGGGGACGGAGAAGGCUAUGUUGGCCGGGCGACGGUUGUCCCGGUUUAAGCGUGUAGGCUGGUUUUCCAGGCAAAUCCGGAAAAUCAAGGCUGAGGCGUGAUGACGAGGCACUACGGUGCUGAAGCAACAAAUGCCCUGCUUCCAGGAAAAGCCUCUAAGCAUCAGGUAACAUCAAAUCGUACCCCAAACCGACACAGGUGGUCAGGUAGAGAAUACCAAGGCGCUUGAGAGAACUCGGGUGAAGGAACUAGGCAAAAUGGUGCCGUAACUUCGGGAGAAGGCACGCUGAUAUGUAGGUGAGGUCCCUCGCGGAUGGAGCUGAAAUCAGUCGAAGAUACCAGCUGGCUGCAACUGUUUAUUAAAAACACAGCACUGUGCAAACACGAAAGUGGACGUAUACGGUGUGACGCCUGCCCGGUGCCGGAAGGUUAAUUGAUGGGGUUAGCGCAAGCGAAGCUCUU